rnacentral:rRNA from 1 species
CAGGGGGGGCAAGCGUUGUUCGGAAUUACUGGGCGUAAAGGGCCAGUAGGCGGCCAACUAAGUCACACGUGAAAUCCCCAGGCUCAACCUGGGAACUGCGUGUGAUACUGGAUGGCUUGAAUUCGGGAGAGGGAUGCAGAAUUCCAGGUGUAGCGGUGAAAUGCGUAGAUAUCUGGAGGAAUACCGGUGGCGAAGGCGGCAUCCUGGACCGACAUUGACGCUGAACGGCGAAAGCUAGGGGAGCAAACGGGAUUAGAUACCCCGGUAGUCCUAGCCCUAAACGAUGAAUGCUUGGUGUGGCGGGUAUCGAUCCCUGCCGUGCCGAAGCUAACGCAUUAAGCAUUCCGCCUGGGGAGUACGGUCGCAAGGCUG